GAAAGAAAUGAGAGAAAGAUGGAUCUGAGCCUUUUAGGAAGACGUCUUCAUUUGAGAUGGUGUAUGACAGUAGAUAGUGUCAGAGGUGAGCAUACAAGAGCAGAAGAAUGCAAUGUGGCUUUGGGGCUCUCCCAUCAAGAAGUGGGGUCCAUUUCCUGAUCCCUGGAGUCUGGACUCAGGAGCAGCCUGUGACUUGCACUGACAUCAAUGGAUAAUGAAAUGGAUGGAGACAGAGUUGUGCAAAUUCCAGAAGCUACGCCUUGAGGGCUCUUGCAGAUUUUGCUUUUGACCUCUUGAAACUGCCCUGAGACCACUAGGAAGGAAUACCUAUCUGGUUUUCUGGAGGAAGAGAGUCACAUGGAGAAGAACUGAGGCAGCCACCAACUGCCAGACAUGUGACCACCAGCUCUGCUGACCCCACAGCUCAAAGAAGCUGCACAGAUGAGCUGAGGCCACACUCUUCAGGGAACAAUCCGCACAGUCCUGAGAGACAGCAACUCCUUGCUCUUCUGAGCCACUAGGCUUUGGAACAGUUCAUUGCCUCUUUUACAUGACAUACUCUAAUUGCAUCAUCUUGUUCAAUGCUCACAACAACCCUGCAAGGUUCUUAUUAAUUUUCCAUUUUACAGAUAAGAAAACUGAGCCUCACAGAGUAGAUGCAAAACCGUUAAGUGGCAGGACUGGAAUUUGCACUCACAUCUAUGUGGCCCUAAAGGCCACCCUCUCCCCAUUUCACUGGCCCAUCAAAAACCACAGAGACCAGAUAACAAGAGCUUGUCAUAGUGCUGACAGCAGAGCUGAGGUCCCA
rnacentral:lncRNA from 10 species